rnacentral:pre_miRNA from 1 species
GAAAUACUCCCUCUGUCUCAUAUUAACUGACUUUCUAUUACAUGUAUCUAGACAUAUUGUAGUACUCCUAUAUAGAUACGUCCAUAUUUAGACAAAUUUGAGUCACUUAAUAUGGGACGGAGGGAGUAGUUA